CGCGUAGGUGGUUUGUUAUGUCAGAUGUGAAAGUCCACGGCUCAACCGUGGAAGUGCAUUUGAAACUGGCAGACUUGAGUACUGGAGGGGGUAGUGGAAUUCCCGGUGUAGAGGUGAAAUUCGUAGAUAUCGGGAGGAAUACCGGUGGCGAAGGCGACUGCCUGGCCAGAUACUGACACUGAGGUGCGAAAGCGUGGGGAGCAAACA
rnacentral:rRNA from 1 species